rnacentral:rRNA from 1 species
UACGAAGGGGGCUAGCGUUGCUCGGAAUCACUGGGCGUAAAGCGCACGUAGGCGGAUUGCUAAGUCAGGGGUGAAAUCCUGGAGCUCAACUCCAGAACUGCCUUUGAUACUGGCGAUCUUGAGUCCGGGAGAGGUGAGUGGAACUGCGAGUGUAGAGGUGAAAUUCGUAGAUAUUCGCAAGAACACCAGUGGCGAAAGCGGCUCACUGGCCCGGUACUGACGCUGAGGUGCGAAAGCGUGGGGAGCAAACAGG